rnacentral:rRNA from 1 species
UAGAGUCUGAUCAUGGCUCUGGAUGUAUGCUAGCGGCAGUCUCAGACGUGCAAGUCGAGGGGCAGCAGGGGUAGCAAUACUCGCUGGCGACCGGCAAACGGGUGAGGAACAUGUACGCAACCUUCCUUUAAAUGGAGGAUAGCCCCUCGAAAGAGGGAUUAAUACUCCGUAACAUAAUGAAGUGGCAUCACUUUAUUAUUAUAGCUCCGGCGGUUAAAGAUGGGCGUGCAACUGAUUAGAUAGUCGGCGGGGUAACGGCCCACCAAGUCUGCGAUCAGUAAGUGGUGUGAGAGCACGACCAGUCACACGGGCAGUGAGACACGGGCCCGACUCUUACGGGAGGCAGCAGUAAGGAAUAUUGGUCAAUGGACGCAAGUCUGAACCAGCCAUGCCGCGUGGAGGAUUAAGGCCCUUUGGGUUGUAAACUCCUUUUAUGUGGGAAGAAAUGUGUUUUUUAUAAGACACUUGACGGUACCAGAGGAAUAAGCACCGGCUAACUCCGUGCCAGCAGCCGCGGUAAUACGGAGGGUGCAAGCGUUAUCCGGAUUCACUGGGUUUAAAGGGUGCGUAGGCGGGCAGAUAAGUCAGUGGUGAAAUCUUCGAGCUUAACUCGGAAACUGCCGUUGAUACUAUUUGUCUUGAAUAUUGUGGAGGUAAGCGGAAUAUGUCAUGUAGCGGUGAAAUGCUUAGAUAUGACAUAGAACACCAAUUGAGAAGGCAGCUUACUACACAAUGAUUGACGCUGAGGCACGAAAGUGUGGGGAUCAAACAUGAUUAGAUACCCUGGUAGUCCACGCCAUAAACGAUGAUUACUCGACAUACGCCGAUAUACUGUGUGCGUCCGAGCGAAAGCAUUAAGUAAUCCACCUGGGAAGUACGAUCGCAAGAUUGAAACUCAAAUGAAUAGAUGGAUCCCGC